UAAUACGGAGGGUGCAAGCGUUAUCCGGAUUCACUGGGUUUAAAGGGUGUGUAGGCGGACAGUUAAGUCAGCGGUGAAAUCUCCGGGCUCAACCCGGAAACUGCCAUUGAUACUAUCUGUCUUGAAUAUUGUUGAGGUGGGCGGAAUAUGUCAUGUAGCGGUGAAAUGCAUAGAUAUGACAUAGAACACCGAUUGCGAAGGCAGCUCACUAAACAAUGAUUGACGCUGAGGCACGAAAGCGUGGGGAUCAAACAGGAUUAGAUACCCUGGUAGUCCACGCCCUAAACGAUGAUUACUCGACAUACGCGAUACACAGUGUGUGUCUGAGCGAAAGCAUUAAGUAAUCCACCUGGGAAGUACGUCCGCAAGGAUG
rnacentral:rRNA from 1 species